rnacentral:lncRNA from 1 species
GCAGUGGAGCAGCUUUCGACGCACGGAGUUUUAGCCACAGAGUCAUGCGUGGGACCCCGGGCCGGCACCUUCAACUGGACUCUAAAGGCCUGGACUUGAUGGGCCUGGAGCUUUUAGGUUAUGAGGUUAUGAUCCUGCUCUGUCCCAAGUGCCGACAACAGUGUCCAGGACUUUGUAAGUAAUAACGAAUCUUGGCUUUUCAUUACUGUGCUGGCCUUGUGGGUGACUAGGAUGUCUAAAAGAUAAGCUAAAGAGACAAGUUCUUAGAGAGAGAGAGGGAGAGAGAGAGAGAGAGAGGGAGAGAAAGAGAGGGGGAGAGAGAGAGGGAGAAUAGUAUUCUCAACAAAUCUUAAAUCCCAAGCUCCUAACCCUAGUUUUCACAGGAAAAUUCCCUUGUGGAAACCCUGGAGUUCUGGCUGGCUCUGGACUCCUCCCCUGUUGUCUGGGUGAGGAGUGUGGGACAAGUGAAGAGGAAUCUGGAGCCCUAAUACCUGCUGUGGUCUGUGUGCCAGCUGCCUUCAAAUCAUAGCAUGGAACCUCCCCAAACCAACCUCCUGAUUUCAAACAAUCAAAGGAAGACACUAAUCUGAAACACUGGAAACCCAGACCCGCUUUGGCUCAGAAAAGCUCAUGCUUAUUGAAAUCUUCAAAGGCCAGACAUAAAAAUGUUUUAGAUUAUCUCUCUUAUUUGCCUUGUCGGGAAUCAUUUUUACAACACUGAACACAAAUGCUCUAGAGUUUGGUUUUCUUCCUACACACCUCUCGCUGGCAAGCUUUCAGAAGCUUGCCAUGCUCGGAGGUCGCGCGAGAGAAUGUGUGGUCAGAGGGUGUCUCUAAGCCUAUGCCCUUGAGUCAAGUAUUUUCAAAAUGAAGUGAGUACAGAGACAUCAUUAGAGUUCAGGGGUAUAAAUAAAAGUUUCAGAA